rnacentral:rRNA from 1 species
UACGAAGGGGGCUAGCGUUGCUCGGAAUUACUGGGCGUAAAGGGCGCGUAGGCGGACAGUUUAGUCAGAGGUGAAAGCCCUGGGCUCAACCUUGGAAUUGCCUUUGAUACUGGCUGUCUUGAGUUCGGGAGAGGUGAGUGGAAUGCCGAGUGUAGAGGUGAAAUUCGUAGAUAUUCGGCGGAACACCAGUGGCGAAGGCGACUCACUGGCCCGAUACUGACGCUGAGGCGCGAAAGCGUGGGGAGCAAACAGG